GAUUAACGCUGGCGGCGUGCAUAACACAUGCAAGUCGAACGAUGAAACUUAAAUGAUUUCUUCGGAAUGAACUUAAGUGGAUUAGUGGCGGACGGGUGAGUAACGCGUGAGUAACCUGCCUUACACAAGGGGAUAGCCGUUGGAAACGACGAAUAAUACCCUAUGAAACUAUCACUUCGCAUGAAGCGAUAGUCAAAGUGUUAGCGAUGUAAGAUGGACUUGCGUCUGAUUAGCUAGUUGGUGAGAAAAAAGCCCACCAAGGCAACGAUCAGUAGCCGGCUUGAGAGAGUGUACGGCCACAUUGGGACUGAGACACGGCCCAGACUCCUACGGGAGGCAGCAGUGGGGAAUUUUGCACAAUGGGGGAAACCCUGAUGCAGCGACGCCGCGUGAUUUAGAAGGCCUUCGGGUUGUAAAAAUCUUUUGUAUAGGAAGAAAAUGACAGUACUAUACGAAUAAGGUCCGGCUAAUUACGUG
rnacentral:rRNA from 1 species